UAGGGAGACUGCCGAGCUAGAGGGUGGGAGAGGUCAGCGGUAUUCCUGGGGUAGGGGCGAAAUCCUUUGAUCCCAGGAGGACCACCAGUGGCGAAGGCUGCUGACUAGAACACGCCUGACGGUGAGGGACGAAAGCUGGGGGAGCGAAUCGGAUUAGAUACCCGAGUAGUCCCAGCCGUAAACGAUGCAGGCUAGGUGUUGGGGCGGCCACGGGCCGCCUCAGUGCCACAGGGAAGCCAUUAAGCCUGCCGCCUGGGGAGUACGGCCGCAAGGCUGAAACUUAAAGGAAUUGGCGGGGGAGCACCACCAAGCGUGAAGCCUGCGGUUUAAUUGGAGUCAACGCCGGGAACCUUACCGGGAGCGACAGCAGGGUGAAGGCCAGGCUGAAGGUCUUGCCGGACGAGCUGAGAGGAGGUGCAUGGCCGUCGCCAGUUCGUGCCGUGAGGUGUCCUCUUAAGUGAGGUAACGAACGAGACCCGCGCCCCUUGUUGCCACCAAAUCCUAAAGGGAUGUUGGGCACUCUUGGGGGACCGCUGCCGACAAGGCAGAGGAAGGUGCGGGCAACGGCAGGUCAGUAUGCCCCGAAAAUCGUCGACCUGCAG
rnacentral:rRNA from 1 species